GUGCCAGCAGCCGCGGUAAUACGUAGGGGGCGAGCGUUGUCCGGAUUUAUUGGGCGUAAAGAGCUCGUAGGCGGUUUGGUAAGUCGGAUGUGAAAUCUCCAGGCUCAACCUGGAGGGGUCAUUCGAGACUGCUAUGACUAGAGUUCGGUAGAGGAGUGUGGAAUUCCUGGUGGAGCGGUGAAAUGCGCAGAUAUCAGGAGGAACACCCGUAGCGAAGGCGGCACUCUGGGCCGAUACUGACGCUGAGGAGCGAAAGCGUGGGGAGCGAACAGGAUUAGAAACCCUUGUAGUCC
rnacentral:rRNA from 1 species